rnacentral:rRNA from 1 species
CUCGCACCGCGACCCCAGGUCAGGCGGGACCACCCGCC